rnacentral:rRNA from 1 species
GAGGCGCCCAAAGGUUCCCUCAGAAUGGUUGGAAAUCAUUCGUAGAGUGCAAAGGCAUAAGGGAGCUUGACUGCGAGACCUACAAGUCGAGCAGGGACGAAAGUCGGGCUUAGUGAUCCGGUGGUUCCGCAUGGAAGGGCCAUCGCUCAACGGAUAAAAGCUACCCCGGGGAUAACAGGCUUAUCUCCCCCAAGAGUCCACAUCGACGGGGAGGUUUGGCACCUCGAUGUCGGCUCAUCGCAUCCUGGGGCUGUAGUCGGUCCCAAGGGUUGGGCUGUUCGCCCAUUAAAGCGGUACGCGAGCUGGGUUCAGAACGUCGUGAGACAGUUCGGUCCCUAUCCGUCGUGGGCGUAGGAAAUUUGAGAGGAGCUGUCCUUAGUACGAGAGGACCGGGAUGGACGCACCGCUGGUGUACCAGUUGUUCUGCCAAGGGCAUAGCUGGGUAGCUAUGUGCGGAAGGGAUAAGUGCUGAAAGCAUCUAAGCAUGAAGCCCCCCUCAAGAUGAGAUUUCCCAUAGCGUAAGCUAGUAAGAUCCCUGAAAGAUGAUCAGGUUGAUAGGUUCGAGGUGGAAGCAUGGUGACAUGUGGAGCUGACGAAUACUAAUAGAUCGAGGACUUAACCAUAUAA